AGGAAACAAAGAAAGGCUGGAAAAUCCCAAAAUCUGGAGUGUAACUCCAGCGCGGCUCUGCGAUGCAGCUCGCAGCGGCUGUGACCAUCCCCACGGUGCGGAAGGACGUGAAGUCUGAAACUGCUCAUCCCAAGCAGGGUCGCGGUGAGCCGGAGCCUAACCCAGCAACACACAGUGCAUGGCUGGAGGGGGAGGGGACACACCCAGGACCGGACGCCAGUCCAUUGCAAGGCAACCCAACCAAGACUCGAACCCCAGACCCAGCAGAGAGCAAGAUCCAGCCAAACCCACUGCACCACCACACCACCGCAUCCCCCACAAAAGGAAUAGCAACAGAGGCAAAGUCAAUAAUAGGGAAUGUGGCAAAAGUUGAGUGAAGAAGAAGGGGAGGAUGAGGAGGAUGAGGAUGAGGAAGACGAGUUUCCACCGUGUUCAGAAGUAAAGCCUGGUGUGAAUCUGCGGCGCCAGCAGCGUUACAGCACUACUGAUGCCAGAGUAAGAAGAAGGACCAUCAUCCACACAACGAACAUCACGGAUCCUGCUGAGGAUACCGAGGCAGCAGAUGCUUCGGCAGAAACUGCCAGCAGCAAAGCUGUCACCACAAAGGGAAAGAGAGACGAGUGGUGACAGAACGGAGCGCCACGCGAGGACUCGUUCCUCCUGACGACAACGGCGGCGGCCGCACGGCGCUCUGCCCGCCAGCGUCUCCAGAUAUCACCAGACACGUGCCGUGAGUCCUUAUAAGGGACGAUUUUGUAUGAAAAGGAGUCGUCUUGACUGUUCGCGUCACAUUGGCGUUGGCCUAAUCAUUUGACAGUUUCCUCAGGUGUGAGGAGCUGUUCUUGCUUAAAGCUCAUCAGCUAAACCUGGGAAAGUUUGACUUAUUUAGUAGUAAAAGGAAAAAAAUUCUAUGAACUGCUCUGGCUUUGCGUGGAUCUGCGUGUGGGAGUGUGUGAAUUUGUAGCCAUGUGUGCAAGAUAGCAGUCAAUGGCACAGCGCUCAUCAUUUUUUCC
rnacentral:lncRNA from 1 species